rnacentral:rRNA from 1 species
CCACACAGCCAUAUCACCCUGCAGCCCAAGACCGGUUCAGUGACUCACUGAAGCUAAGCAGGGCUGAGCCUGGUCAGUACCUGGAUGGGAGACCACUAGGGAACACUAGGUUGCUGUUGGAA